rnacentral:rRNA from 1 species
UUCCGGUUGAUCCCGCCGGACCUGACUGCUAUCGGAUUGAUACUAAGCCAUGCGAGUCUUUGCAGUAAUGCAAGGCAUACGGCUCAGUAACACGUAGUCAACUUACCCUAUGGACGAGGAUAAUCUCGGGAAACUGAGCAUAAUACUCGAUAGAUCAUAAUGCCUGGAAUGGUUUAUGGUUAAAAUGAUUCGUCGCCAUAGGAUGGGACUGCGGCCUAUCAGCUUGUUGGUGAGGUAAUGGCCCACCAAGGCGAUUACAGGUACGGGCUCUGAGAGGAGAAGCCCGGAGAUGGGUACUGAGACAAGGACCCAGGCCCUAUGGGGCGCAGCAGGCGAGAAAACUUUGCAAUGUGCGAAAGCACGACAAGGUUAAUCCGAGUGAUUUCUGCUAAAGAAAUCUUUUGCAAGUCAUAAAACCACUAGUGAAUAAGGGGUGGGCAAGUUCUGGUGUCAGCCGCCGCGGUAAAACCAGCACCUCAAGUGGUCAGGAGGAUUAUUGGGCCUAAAGCAUCCGUAGCCGGCUCUGUAAGUUUUCGGUUAAAUUCAUGUGCUCAACGCAUGAGCCGCCGAAAAUACUGCAUAGCUAGGGAGUGGGAGAGGUAGACGGUACUCGGUAGGAAGGGGUAAAAUCCUUUGAUCUAUCGAUGACCACCUGUGGCGAAGGCGGUCUACCAGAACACGUUCGACGGUGAGGGAUGAAAGCUGGGGGAGCAAACCGGAUUAGAUACCCGGGUAGUCCCAGCUGUAAACGAUGCAGACUCGAUGAUGCAUUGGCAUAUAGCCAGUGCAGUGUCGCAGGGAAGCCGUUAAGUCUGCCGCCUGGGAAGUACGUACGCAAGUAUGAAACUUAAAGGAAUUGGCGGGGGAGCACCACAAGGGGUGAAGCCUGCGGUUCAAUUGGAUUCAACGCCGG